GGGGAAUUUUCCGCAAUGGGCGAAAGCCUGACGGAGCAAUACCGCGUGAGGGAUGACGGCCUAUGGGUUGUAAACCUCUUUUUUCAGGGAGGAAUCAAUGACGUGUACCUGAAGAAUAAGCAUCGGCUAACUCCGUGCCAGCAGCCGCGGUAAGACGGAGGAUGCAAGUGUUAUCCGGAAUCACUGGGCGUAAAGCGUCUGUAGGUGGUUGAAUAAGUCAACUGUUAAAUCUUGAGGCUCAACCUCAAAACCGCAGUCGAAACUAUUUGACUAGAGUAUAGUAGGGGUAAAGGGAAUUUCCAGUGGAGCGGUGAAAUGCGUAGAGAUUGGAAAGAACACCGAUGGCGAAGGCACUUUACUGGGCUAUUACUAACACUCAGAGACGAAAGCUAGGGUAGCAAAUGGGAUUAGAUACCCCAGUAGU
rnacentral:rRNA from 1 species